AGGGGUAGCUGCUAAAGGGAAGGAGCACACAACUGCACAAGAUUUGAAAGGGUUUAGUGCUCCUGCCAUUCUAGUUGUCAUAACACUAUUCUGAAAAAACAAGGUGAGGAUGAAACUCAGACUCUGAGACCAGCCCAUGUGAUUCUGAAGUCUGUGCUCUUCCCACAGGACCCUAUCAGAGUGGCAAAGGGUACCCAAACGGAGGGAAGUAAAUAUUUAGGGAGGAUCCACUAUGUGUUGAAGGUAUUCAUGGUCUCUGCUCUUGUGGAACCUCCAUAUCAACCAGAGCGACCAUCACUAAGCAGCCAGUCGCACAAUUUGUCUGCAGUCACAACGAAGAUAAAGGAUACAAAAAGGAAGAAAUGUUUAUCUGGGAGGUUGACCUAAUUUUCCAUGAUGGAGAGAGGUGAAUGAUUAGGGUCCUAACACUGUGGAGUGGAUGAACAGGGAGUGAGGAAAGAGGACCAAGGGACUUGAAUUCCUGGAAGGGAGGGCAUGUGGACUGGAACCUGAGCCAGGAAGCCUGACAGAGGAGGAAAAGCUGAGAGGAAAGGUUGGUAAGGGCAGUGGGCUGCAGAAAAGCUCUAGUGAGAGAAGUGAUAGGCGAACCUAGAGUCAACCAACGACCCCGAGGGACACCCCAAAGAUGUGGGUAAAAUCAUGCAAGUCCUAAGAUGGCAAUAUGUAAUCCAUUAACUAGUGAUUUCCUACUGUUCAUUUUUUUUUCUGUAAAUCUGUAUAACUUGUACCCUUUCACUGUUUUUUUUCUCUUUUCUCCUUAAAUAAAAAUUAAAAAAAAAUUAAAAAAAAUAAAAUCAUGCAAGUCAGAGGAGCUGGAAUUACAUAGCCUUACUUCUAAAAGAUAAUUCUUUUUUUUUUUUUUAUCGGUACCAGGGAUCAAACUCACGACCACACACUGUAAGGCAGGCGCUUAUGCCAUUGAGCUAAAUCCCCAGCCCCUAAAAGAUGAUUCUUACUUCUACGUGGAAUAAAGGAGGGAAGGUUGGAUCUGGAAUCAGGAGGUAACUGGGAGAGUAUGGGUGAAUGAUGAUUAAAGUUCAGACUAGGGCUGUUGGCAGCAAAAUUAAACAGAAGUGGCCGGGCUCAAGAAGUAGUUAGUAGGUAAAAUCUCUAGAAUUUAAUGACCAGUUUCAUGAAGGGGUGAAAAAGGGAAAUCUUAAAGUGAUUAUUGGGUUUCUGGCUGGUGCAGCAAUUCACAGAAUCAGGGAACACCAAGGAGGAGCAAGAACAAGAAGAAAAAAUUGGAACAU